GCCCUUUUCAUUUGGGGACGGGUUUCCUCUAUGCGGGUCUGCCGGGUUCGCCCGGCUAUGGCGAUAAACUGCGGCGUGCAAUAGGCGCAGCGGACCCGGGGGCGGUACCCGGCGGCUCCACCACCUUUCCCGUUCCGGCGGGGAACAUGACGGGGCCGAACUAGGAUCGACGUGUGUUGAAAAGCGCUGUUUUCGCCCGGGCUGAGUAACCCGUUAAAGGCUCAAAACUCACAAGUGCCAACGAUAACGAAGCACUUGCUCUUGCUGCGUAAUUCUAGGGCCUAGCGGCCUGAAGUUACACUACCAAGAACGGGGUCCGGGGCGUACCUUGCAACAGAAACGCCCCACU
rnacentral:tmRNA from 1 species